UAGGGAAUCUUCGGCAAUGGGGGGAACCCUGACCGAGCAACGCCGCGUGAGUGAAGAAGGUUUUCGGAUCGUAAAGCUCUGUUGUUAAGGAAGAACGAGUGUGAGAAUGGAAAGUUCAUGCUGUGACGGUACUUAACCAGAAAGGGACGGCUAACUACGUGCCAGCAGCCGAGGUAAUACGUAGGUCCCGAGCGUUGUCCGGAUUUAUUGGGCGUAAAGCGAGCGCAGGCGGUUCGAUAAGUCUGAAGUUAAAGGCAGUGGCUCAACCAUUGUAGGCUUUGGAAACUGUUUAACGUGCGUGCAGAAGGGGAGAGUGGAAUUCCAUGUGUGGCGGUGAAAUGCGUAGAUAUAUGGAGGAACACCGGUGGCGAAAGCGGCUCUCUGGUCUGUAACUGACACUGAGGCUCGAAAGCGUGGGGAGCAAACAGG
rnacentral:rRNA from 1 species